rnacentral:rRNA from 1 species
UACGGAGGGGGCCAGCGUUGUUCGGAAUCAUUGGGCGUAAAGGGCGCGUAGGCGGCCGAUCAAGUCGGAGGUGAAAUCCCUCGGCUCAACUGAGGAAUUGCCUCCGAUACUGUUCGGCUUGAGUCCUGGAGAGGGUAGUGGAAUUCCCAGUGUAGCGGUGAAAUGCGUAGAGACUGGGAAGAACACCAGUGGCGAAGGCGGCUACCUGGACAGGUACUGACGCUGAAGCGCGAAAGCGUGGGGAGCAAACAGG